GUAGUGGAUGCAGCAUCCUAGUUGAGGACGCCCCGCUGGGCUGUGAGACCCAGCGUCGCGGCUGCUGGGACAGACCGGGGAGGCUGCCGCUGCCCUCGGCUAUUCGGGGGCUGUUCUUCAGCUUCUUCCGGCUCAGCCUCCUCUUCUCUCCUCGCUCCUUACACUUGCAGAUCUGCCCUCCUUGGCACUGUGCUUCCCCAGAGGGGUGGCCUCGCUGUUCCCAUGGACAUGGCCCAGGAGCCAGUGACCUUCAGGGACGUGGCCAUCUACUUCUCAAGGGAGGAGUGGGCGUGUCUGGAACCCAGCCAGAGGACCCUCUACCGGGACGUGAUGCUGGACAACUUCAGCAGUGUGGCUGCUCUGGGUGAGCGCGGGCUGAGCGCUGCGUGAGCACAGGGUGAGUGCUGGGAGAGCUCUGCCGCUGCCUCUGGGCCCGGCUCGUCCAGGACAGUAGUGGGGCCUCCCAGCCGAGGGGGCUCAGGAGCUAGAAGUUAUUGGCUUAUGUAGACAGAGGGGCCCACUCAGCGUUUCUCUCGGGCUCCCUGGAGGCAGCCUCAUCUUCCUUCCUCUGACCUUGCCAGGGCCUUCCGU
rnacentral:sRNA from 1 species